CGCUGGCGGCGUGCUUAAUACAUGCAAGUCAACUUGACUUAGAUAGCAAUAUCGAAAGGUAGGGUGGCGCACGGGUGCGUAACGCGUAGGUAAUCUGCCCUGAGGUCUGACAUAACCCGUCGAAAGGCGGGCUAACAUCAGAUGAUAUACAAUCACGACAUCGUGGAAGUAUCAAAUCUUCGGAGCCUUGGGAUGAGCCUGCGUCUGAUUAGGUAGUUGGCGGAGUAAUAGCCCACCAAGCCUACGAUCAGUAGCUGGUCUGAGAGGAUGAUCAGCCACACUGGAACUGAGACACGGUCCAGACUCCUACGGGAGGCAGCAGUAAGGAAUAUUGCUCAAUGGGGGGAAACCCUGAAGCAGCAACGCCGCGUGAAGGAUGAAAUUACUUUUGUAUGUAAACUUCUGUAAGAUGGGAAAAAUAUUCUCCUCGGGAGAAUUGAUUGUACCAUCAGAGUAAGCCCCGGCUAACUACGUG
rnacentral:rRNA from 1 species